CCAACAAUCUUUUGAGGAAGGAAUUAUAGAGGCUGAUGAUUCCAAUCCCUUUAUUUUACAGUUGAAGAAACUGAGGUAAAGGCUGUGACUUGCCCAUAAUCACAGAACUCAGAGAAAUAUAUGGAACUACACUGGAUAAGGCAUUGUAGUAUGGAGUCAUAAAGAUAUAUUUUGGGAUCCUGCUUCAGCAGUAUGAAGGUGGAAUGUCUUCUGUGAUUCAUUUGUAGGGGAGCCCUUGUUUCACUGUCCCAUUUUCCAGUGCUACUUUAUACUGCUCUGGGAAUCAGUAGCUACAUGAAAGCCUUGAAGAAGCAAAUAAGGCCCUAGUCAGCUGGAUGCCGGGCAACAGCAGAGGAACAAGGGAGACAGAGACCUCAAGACAUCAAAAGGAGCUUUGGGAGGAACUCAUUUCUACAGAUCAUCUGAUUUAGCUUGGAUGGACUAUAGAACGUCCUGGUCACUACUUCCCAAGUAUAACUGGUCUUCUUUGAGAAUUGGAAGGAAAGGAACAGCUUCGUUGGUUCCCAUUGGCUACAAAAGGGGAGAAAACUGAAGCCAGGGCGUUUCGGUGACUUGUUCAGUGUCUCAGAGUUAAGAACUGAGAGACGGAGGAUAAAGCACCCAGGAUCUCCCACCCUGGACCCAGUGGCAUUUCUACUCCAGCUCAAUGUCUCCCUUGGAUUCUGCCAAUAUCACAGUAUCAUACUGUGUGCCAUCACUAUUAAAACUUUGUAUCCCAACCGUCUCUGGAAUGAUUAUCUGCCGACUAUGAGGGAAUUUAGUGCAAGGACAAAUUAAAUACUACUCAUUUCAAUUACUCCAAUGACUUCCUUAUAUUACAAUAAUUAAUCUUCAUGGUGUAAUGAGGUCUGGCUCCUGUCCAGAGCACCUGAGACAGCUUCUUACCCAGUACAGGAUGCUAAGGAACUGCUUCUGGAAGAAUCAUGAGGAUGUGUAAGGAAAAUACAGUGGAGAAACUAGGGCACGAUUCCAUGAGGGCUUUCUGAUUGGCUUUGGAGGCAUUCAAAAAGACUGUCAGCUUUGGCUACCUCUUCUUUGUUUCUCUGACCCUCUUUGCCUCAUUGCUUCAGCUGUGCUCUGAUGGGGAUUGCAAUGAGAGAACCAUACUAUCAGAGUAGGGCCAUAGAGUACUCUCUCGC